ensembl:snoRNA U3 Small nucleolar RNA U3
AAGACUAUGCUUUCAGGGAUCAUUGCUGUAGUCCAUGACUAGAGAAGUUUCUCUGAAUGUGUAGAACACCUGAAACCACGAGGAGGAGGCGCAGCGUUCUCUCCAGAGUGUGAAGCCAGCUCUUGGUGUCGCUUUGGCGACUGUCAUUUGCCAUUGAUGAUUGUCCUUCUUUUCCUUUGGGAGACUAAGAGGGAGAGAACGCCAUCUGAGUGGG